UUUAAAACUUCCUACUUGCGUCCGUGUUUAGUUCUUGGGCUUGACCAACGAGAUUUACAGAAACAUUCGAUGGAAUGUCUGGAAACCUUUUGGAAUCUUUUGGACUAUUUUAAAUGAUUUAGAAAAUCGCAAACGACCGAAUAACAGAAGUUAACGUUCCUGGAGUAGAAGCGCGGUGCUUUGUUUACAACGCAAGUGACCAAAUGAAUGAUCCCUUUCUUUACCCAGAGAAUCAUUCGGUUGGAAGCAACAACGACGUGAGCACUGUCAUUAAGGCUCGCCCUUUAAUAUUUGAAGAUUCCAUUUCAUUACAAGAGACCCUUUGCUGGUAUAUCUAUCUUCAGCUGCUGAUGUCAUUAGCUGUUCUUUGGAUUCUGAAAAACAAAGUGCCUAUGUGCAAUGUUUGGUUUAUGCGAUAUGAAUCGUCAAGGGCUGCUUUUUGGUACAUAAUACAUAUACUAGAUUUUUUAUCGUUUUCAGUACAACAGUUUUUUUCACAUUCCCAAUGUUUUCGCCUUUCUGUGCCAUUUUUUUCUGAUUUUCGGAAUUAUUUUCGGAAUCACUUCUGGGAUAUCUUUUUAUGUAUUAGAUAAAUAUAACGAAUAUGCCACAUACAAAUCUUUUAUGUGGAAAGUCAUAAUAAUAGAAUUGUGUUGUACUUGUGUGUUAUAUACUAAAGUAUGGAAGUAUACGCGACGAAUAGAGGAAUUUGCACUCUUUACAAUUCUCAUUACUUGCUUACAUUUUCUGGUUUUGUCAACAAGAUGAAACUAAUGUACGUGAAUUCAAUAGUGUAUUGAUGGAAACAGCUUUUUCUACACAGUAACUGUGCAUAGCGUCAACAUUUUUGUCUAAGAAAAGUGCCAUUUCAUAAUGUACAUGAAAAAGAUUUUAUUGAAUAAAUGCUUGGU